rnacentral:snoRNA from 1 species
ACACCAAAUAUGACUAGACUAACCUCUUAUGCCUAAUUUGCAUGCCGACAACGACUGUGAGAGCAAGAACCCAAAACUUACCUGAGCCG